rfam:Canis lupus familiaris chromosome 11, whole genome shotgun sequence.
CGGGGGAGGCCGGAUCCUGGGCUGUGUCCCGGCGCCCUGUGCUCCGGAGCCUGCGCUGUUGGAUUCGCGCUCCCGGCCGUGCAGCCCCCU